GCCCUAGUAACGGCGAGUGAAGCGGCAACAGCUCAAAUUUGAAAUCUGGCGUCUUUGGCGUCCGAGUUGUAAUUUGCAGAGGGCGCUUUGGCAUUGGCAGCGGUCCAAGUUCCUUGGAACAGGACGUCACAGAGGGUGAGAAUCCCGUACGUGGUCGCUAGCCUUUACCGUGUAAAGCCCCUUCGACGAGUCGAGUUGUUUGGGAAUGCAGCUCUAAAUGGGAGGUAAAUUUCUUCUAAAGCUAAAUACUGGCCAGAGACCGAUAGCGCACAAGUAGAGUGAUCGAAAGAUGAAAAGCACUUUGGAAAGAGAGUUAAAAAGCACGUGAAAUUGUUGAAAGGGAAGCGCUUGCAGCCAGACUUGCCUGUAGUUGCUCAUCCGGGUUUUUACCCGGUGCACUCUUCUAUAGGCAGGCCAGCAUCAGUUUGGGCGGUUGGAUAAAGGUCUCUGUCACGUACCUCCUCUCGGGGAGAACUUAUAGGGGAGACGUAAUGCAACCAGCCUGGACUGAGGUCCGCGCAUCUGCUAGGAUGCUGGCGUAAUGGCUGUAAGCGGCCCGUCUUGAAACACGGACCAAGGAGUCUAACAUCUAUGCGAGUGUUUGGGUGUCAAGCCCGAGCGCGUAAUGAAAGUGAACGGAGGUGGGAACCUUUCGGGGUGCACCAUCGACCGAUCCUGAUGUCUUCGGAUGGAUUUGAGUAAGAGCAUAGCUGUUGGGACCCGAAAGAUGGUGAACUAUGCUUGAAUAGGGUGAAGCCAGAGGAAACUCUGGUGGAGGCUCGCAGCGGUUCUGACGUGCAAAUCGAUCGUCAAAUUUGGGCAUAGGGGCGAAAGACUAAUCGAACUAUCUAGUAGCUGGUUCCUGCCGAAGUUUCCCUCAGGAUAGCAGUAACGUUUUCAGUUUUAUGAGGUAAAGCGAAUGAUUAGAGGCCUGGGGGUUGAAACAACCUUCACCUAUUCUCAAACUUUAAAUAUGUAAGAAGUCCUUGUUACUUAAUUGAACGUGGACAGUUGAAUGUAUCGUUACUAGUGGGCCAUUUUUGGUAAGCAGAACUGGCGAUGCGGGAUGAACCGAACGCGGGGUUAAGGUGCCAGAAUAUACGCUCAUCAGACACCACAAAAGGUGUUAGUUCAUCUAGACAGCAGGACGGUGGCCAUGGAAGUCGGAAUCCGCUAAGGAGUGUGUAACAACUCACCUGCCGAAUGAACUAGCCCUGAAAAUGGAUGGCGCUCAAGCGUAUUACCCAUACCCCGCCGCUGGGGCAAGAUUUAAGCCCCAGCGAGUAGGCAGGCGUGGAGGUCCGUGACGAAGCCUG
rnacentral:rRNA from 1 species